UACGAAGGGGGCUAGCGUUGUUCGGAUUUACUGGGCGUAAAGCGCACGUAGGCGGUUUGUUAAGUCAGGUGUGAAAUCCUGGAGCUCAACUCCAGAACUGCCUUUGAUACUGGCAAUCUUGAGUCCGGAAGAGGUGAGUGGAACUCCUAGUGUAGAGGUGGAAUUCGUAGAUAUUAGGAAGAACACCAGUGGCGAAGGCGGCUCACUGGUCCGGUACUGACGCUGAGGUGCGAAAGCGUGGGGAGCAAACAGG
rnacentral:rRNA from 1 species